CGGGGUGAGUAACGCGUGGGCAACCUGCCCUGUACCGGGGGACAACAGCCAGAAAUGGCUGCUAAUACCGCAUAAGCCUGCGGUGCCGCAUGGCACAGCAGGGAAAACCACGGUGGUACAGGAUGGGCCCGCGUCUGAUUAGUUAGUUGGCAGGGUAACGGCCUACCAAGACGAUGAUCAGUAGCCGGCUUGAGAGAGUGGACGGCCACAUUGGGACUGAGACACGGCCCAGACUCCUACGGAAGGCAGCAG
rnacentral:rRNA from 1 species